CUCAAUGUUGUCAAUGAUGCAUCCUUAUUGGAACUGAAUUUUAAGUGAUCUAACCCAUUCGUCACUACCACUGAGACAACAUUGAG